rnacentral:tRNA from 1 species
AGGGGUAUCGCCAAGUUGGUAAGGCACGGGAUUCUGAUUCCCGCAUGCGCAGGUUCGAGUCCUGCUACCCCUGCCA